rnacentral:rRNA from 1 species
CUACGGGGGGCUGCAGUGAGGAAUAUUGCGCAAUGGGGGAAACCCUGACGCAGCGACGCCGCGUGGAUGAUGAAGGCCUUCGGGUCGUAAAAUCCUGUCAGAAGGAAAGAAGUAUAUGGUAGCUAAUAUCUGCCAUAUUUGACGGUACCUUCAAAGGAAGCACCGGCUAACUCCGUGCCAGCAGCCGCGGUAAUACGGAGGGUGCAAGCGUUGUUCGGAAUUACUGGGCGUAAAGCGCGCGUAGGCGGCUGGUUAAGUCAGAUGUGAAAGCCCAUGGCUUAACCAUGGACGUGCAUUUGAUACUGGGCAGCUUGAGUACUGGAGGGGGUGGUGGAAUUCCCGGUGUAGAGGUGAAAUUCGUAGAUAUCGGGAGGAAUACCGGUGGCGAAGGCGACCACCUGGCCAGAUACUGACGCUGAGGUGCGAAAGCGUGGGGAGCAAACAGGAUUAGAUACCCGUGUAGUC